AAACUAACAAGGAUUCCCCUAGUAACGGCGAGUGAAGCGGGAAGAGCUCAAAUUUGAAAUCUGGCAGCCUUUGGUUGUCCGAGUUGUAAUCUAGAGAAGCGUUUUCCGCGUUGGCCCAUGUACAAGUCUGCUGGAAUGCAGCGUCAUAGAGGGUGAGAAUCCCGUCCUUGACAUGGACUACCAAUGCUUUGUGAUACGUUUUCAACGAGUCGAGUUGUUUGGGAAUGCAGCUCAAAAUGGGUGGUAAAUUCCAUCUAAAGCUAAAUAUUGGCGAGAGACCGAUAGCGAACAAGUACCGUGAGGGAAAGAUGAAAAGCACUUUGGAAAGAGAGUUAAACAGUAUGUGAAAUUGUUGAAAGGGAAACGAUUGAAGUCAGUCGUGGGCUUUGCAUUCAGCUGGUUCUGCCAGUGUACUUGCUUUGCUCGGGGUCAACAUCGGUUUUGGUCGUCGGAAAAGGCUUGGAGGAAUGUGCCACCCUCGGGUGAACUUAUAGCCUCUUUGCUUAUACGAUGGCUGGGACCGAGGAACGCAGCUUGCCUUUAUGGCCGGGGUUCGCCCACGUACAAGCUUAGGAUGUUGACAUAAUGGCUUUAAACGAC
rnacentral:rRNA from 1 species